AUACGUAGGUGACAAGCGUUAUCCGGAUUUACUGGGCGUAAAGGGCGUGUAGGCGGUCUUGCAAGUCAGAAGUGAAAUUCCUGAGCUCAACUCGGGCGCUGCUUCUGAAACUGCAGGACUUGAGUGCUGGAGGGGAUAGCGGAAUUCCUAGUGGAGCGGUAAAAUGCGCAGAUAUUAGGAAGAACACCGGUGGCGAAGGCGGCUAUCUGGACAGUAACGGACGCUGAGGCGCGAAAGCGUGGGGAGCAAACAGGAUUAGAUACCCUGGUAGACCACGCCGUAAACGAUGAAUACUAGGUGUAGGGGGUAUCGACUCCCUCUGUGCCGCAGUUAACACAAUAAGUAUUCCGCCUGGGGAGUACGGCCGCAAGGUUGAAACUCAAAUGAAUUGGCGGG
rnacentral:rRNA from 1 species